AUGAAGAAGAGCCAUGUGUUCUACCUUCCGGCCUAACCUACAUCAGUCAAUAAGCAUUUCAUUAUAUGACUACCAAGUAUUGGAAAUUUCGAAAAUUUUGUUUUAACUUUGAUAGAAAGCGAUAGACUGGCCCGCACGGGAAAACCACAAAAAUUAUUCGUUAAUAAUUACUUUUCCAUCAUUUUCUCGAGCGAGUACAAGAAACUCACAAUUCAUGGAAACACGUGAAACACUUCACUUGCCUUUCGUGCCAUCGGUCAGGUUGAUGAAUGAACGGCAAAGCCUUUACGAUUCUCAAUACGAGGUAGUUUGUCGGAACUUUCUCGGAUUAUGGCGGCUAAAGAAAGAAAGAAAUCUAAGCUACAAAUGUACAAAUCUAAUCCGUAUUGCUCACAGAAAGUGACGUUCAAACUUUCCUAGAAGAGGAAGAAAACCAAUGUAUGAAAAGAAAAACCAAAAGUUCGGUAUUCAGUGGCCUUUGGUAAUAGUGUUUCUAGCGGCUGAGAACGAAAAGCGACAACUGAAAGAUUAGCCAUUGACCGAUUUUGGCUGUUUAGACUUCUGUAAAGGCUUCUGUAAAGGCUUCUUUAAAGACUUCUGUCGGUAAGGACAAAGUCAAUGAAUGAGAAUUUUGUAAAUUGAAAAUUACACCCAUUGUUGCUUUUGAGCCUUGUCGAUUCUUUUAUUUUCAUUCAUUGAUGAACUUUGCUUUUCUUGUCACCAAAGAGCAAUUGUGUUUAUAUGAUAAACAAAAUAAUACAUAGUUGCUUGUAGAUAUGGACUUUCUCUUGAAGUCUUCGACUCGACAUCUCACUCGCUCGCUGCGCUCACUCGUGCAUUAGCUAUCGAGUUGAAUACUCGAAGAGAAAGUCCACAUCUAUGCGCGCCCAUGUAUUCUCUAUUUAUCUUUAUUCUUUUAGAAAAUGAAAGGCACAGAAAGUCAAUAUGGCGUAAUGAUGUGUCUCUUUUCUUAGUAAAGAAGUUUUCAGUCGGCGUGGACAACUACUGUUAUAUUUUCUAUUGGGGUUUCUAUACAUUUGGGGCUUGGCCCUUCAGUGCAAAGUUAAGUUCUUUACAUAUGCUGCAAAGUUUUUAUGUACUGCGCACUAAACAUAUGGAAAGCUUUGAAUUAUGACCCUUUUUGUUUAUGUAAACGGAGCACCUUUCUACUAGUACGCACCUAAGUGCUACGUAUCUCAUGGAAAUUUUUUCCAUUUUCAUUUUAUAUCUCUUUUUUCUUUUUUUUAGGUGAUAAGCAGUCUUCAAGAACUUUUGUCACAAGCCCAAGGCUUCAGAUGUUCUACUUAUGCAUCUUGCCUUCUAGAGAAUGAAGAGGUAUCAGAUGAAAUCGCAGUUAUUACUUUGAAUGAUAAGCCACUCAGUAAGCGAUUGGAAUACUAUUUUUCUGACUAUUCGCUGACGACUAAGAAGCCGCAGGUUACUUCAUUUCCACCAGAUUUUAAUCCGAUACCUUGCAAGCCCCUGUUCUUUGACCUGGCUCUCAAUCAAGUCAAGUUCCCGUCAUUAGCUCACAGAGUAGAGGAAAAGAAAAGUGGCGGACUAGCUGGAUAUUUCAAGGGUUGGCUGUGGGGCUCUGGACCUUAAAUAACUGUUUGAGAUGAACUAAAUGUUCGGUCAAUUUUGAGCACAACUGUAGUUUAGUCUAUUUUCAGUAGCUUGGGUUAAAACUAAGGCACUUUGUGUUGAGAAUAUUUCACAGAGUGUGUAUGAAUAGUUCGAACCAACUUUUGCACCCUGAAUGCUGCAAAGAUUUACGAUGUAAAUCACCAAAUGGAGCACCACGAAAUGUAAUCUGCCGGAGAUUUAUUAACCUUGGACG
rnacentral:lncRNA from 1 species